CGAUUUAUGUUGAAUAAUGAAAUAAAUCUAUCUUAUACUUUAUCUGUGGUAUGUAAAAAUAAUAUAAGAAAAUCAAUUAAACAAUAAUAUUCGUGAGUGAUUGGUAUAAAAACAUAAUUUAUUGCUAUAAAAAAGUUAUUGAAUGAUUAAUUAUAAAAUAGUUAUAAUUAAUUAAAAAUUAGAUAUAAGUUAACAAUGCGUAAUAUAGAAAUAAAAGCAAAAAUUGAUAAUCCAGAGCUUAAGAUAUCUCGAAUUGUGCAAUUAACUAAAGACAAUGGUAUCAUCAUGAAACAACACGAUACUUUUUUCAAGGUAGCAGAAGGAAGAUUAAAAUUACGAAAAUUUGAAGAUGGCUCAGGAGAAUUAAUUUACUAUAAAAGAUCUAAUGUAUUUGGUCCAAAGCUUUGUGAUUAUGAAAAAGUAGCUUUGGAUGAAAAUGCUUGUAGUGGUAUUGCAAAUAUUUUAAAUGAAUCAAAUGGUUCUGUAGGAAUUGUAAAAAAAACUAGAAAACUAUACAUGAUUGAUCAAACUCGUGUACAUAUUGAUGAUGUUGAAGGUUUAGGAAAUUUUUUGGAAUUAGAGGUAAUUUUAAAUGAUGAUCAAGACAUAGAAAGUGGUGAGAAGAUUGCUCAGGAUUUAAUGUCUAAGUUAGACAUAAAAAGCGAAGAUUUGAUAGCAAAUGCUUAUAUAGAUUUACUUAGUAAAUCUAUUGAAUAGCUAUAUUCAAUCAUAUAUGUUUUGUGUAUUUCUAAAAUUAUUUUUUACAUUUUAUAAAAUUGCUAAAUAAACGAAAAUUCUUAAAUAA